AGCUUUGCGCAGAGGCAUUAUCAUAGCCAAUGAGGUUUAUCCGAGGUGUGAUUAUUGCUGCUUGAAAACGUGUAUUAUAAUA
rnacentral:snRNA from 1 species